UUGAUUUAGGUACCAAAUAGUAAAUAUAUGUAUGUAGAUUUAGGUACCAAAUAGUGAUCCGACGUCAUUUUAAGUUAACUGGGAAUUAUUUUCUUCCAUACCUUUUGCAUCUAUCAUGUUAGAGAACUCAGAAAGACAGAUUCGAUCAUGAUAUAGCUCUCUUCCACUAUUAUUACCAAGAUGGGUGAUUUCCGUGAGUUCUUCGAUUGCGGUGCGUCCUUCGAUUCUUUCCAAGUCACAAAGAUUCAUUGUAUUUCCAUUCGAGGGGAAAUUUGAAAAGUUGCUAGAAGAAUGCACAAGGUUUUUUUGUUGGAGAUUUAGUAGGAAUACUUGAAGAAUAGACGAAUUAAAAGAAUUAUAGACACUCUAGAAAUGUUUGGAUUGUUGUAUAGCAAUGUACUUAUCUUAUCUUUUUUUUUUUCUUUUUUUUAUCAAAAUGAGCAUUGUACUUAUACUUUUAAUAGAUGUACGAUAAUACUUGUCAUUUGGAACAUAUUAGAUUUAUGAGCAGAAA